GAUGAACGCUGGCGGCGUGCUUAACACAUGCAAGUCGAACGAUUAAGACCCCCUUCGGGGGGUGUAUAGAGCGGCGAACGGGUGAGUAACACGUGGGCAACCUGCCCCUCACUUUGGGAUAACUCAGGGAAACUUGAGCUAAUACCGGAUACUCCGGGACGGUCGCAUGGCUGACUCGGGAAAGCUCCGGCGGUGAGGGAUGGGCCCGCGGCCCAUUAGCUUGUUGGUGAGGGAACGGCUCACCAAGGCAACGAUGGGUAGGCGAGCUGAGAGUCUGAUCGGCCACACUGUGACUGAGACACGGCCCAGACUCCUACGGGAGGCAGCAGUGGGGAAUCUUGCGCAAUGGGCGAAAGCCUGACGCAGCAACGCCGCGUGCGGGAUGAAGGCCUUCGGGUUGUAAACCGCUUUCAGCAGGGACGAAUCUGACUGUACCUGCAGAAGAAGCCCCGGCUAACUACGUGCCAGCAGCCGCAGUAAAAC
rnacentral:rRNA from 1 species